UUUGUAAGUAACGAUGCUUGACCCCUUCUUUCAGAACUGAAGA
rnacentral:sRNA from 1 species